rnacentral:rRNA from 1 species
GAUGAACGCUGGCGGCGUGCCUAAUACAUGCAAGUCGAACGCUUCACUUCGGUGAAGAGUGGCGAACGGGUGAGUAAUACAUAAUUAACCUGGCAUCUACAGGGGGAUAACUGAUGGAAACGUCAGCUAAGACCGCAUAGGUGUAGAGAUCGCAUGAACUCUAUAUGAAAAGUGCUACGGGACUGGUAGAUGAUGGACUUAUGGCGCAUUAGCUUGUUGGUAGGGUAACGGCCUACCAAGGCGACGAUGCGUAGCCGACCUGAGAGGGUGACCGGCCACACUGGGACUGAGACACGGCCCAGACUCCUACGGGAGGCAGCAGUAGGGAAUUUUCGGCAAUGGGGGAAACCCUGACCGAGCAACGCCGCGUGAAGGAAGAAGUAAUUCGGUAUGUAAACUUCUGUCAUAGAGGAAGAACGGUGGAUAUAGGGAAUGAUAUCCAAGUGACGGUACUCUAUAAGAAAGCCACGGCUAACUACGUG